UGCAUUCAACCGUUGAUGGACAUUUGGGUC
rnacentral:piRNA from 1 species